AUCCCAGUGGAUCAAUGGUUACAGCGCUGGUGCUUUUAACCAGAGGUCAUAGGUUCGAUUCCUUGUUGGGACG